rnacentral:rRNA from 1 species
GAUGAACGCUGGCGGCGUGCCUAAUACAUGCAAGUCGAGCGAACGGACGAGAAGCUUGCUUCUCUGAUGUUAGCGGCGGACGGGUGAGUAACACGUGGAUAACCUACCUAUAAGACUGGGAUAACUUCGGGAAACCGUAGCUAAUACCGGAUAAUAUUUUGAACCGCAUGGUUCAAAAGUGAAAGACGGUCUUGCUGUCACUUAUAGAUGGAUCCGCGCUGCAUUAGCUAGUUGGUAAGGUAACGGCUUACCAAGGCAACGAUGCAUAGCCGACCUGAGAGGGUGAUCGGCCACACUGGAACUGAGACACGGUCCAGACUCCUACGGGAGGCAGCAGUAGGGAAUCUUCCGCAAUGGGCGAAAGCCUGACGGAGCAACGCCGCGUGAGUGGUGAAGUUCUUCGGAUCGUAAAACUCUGUUAUUAGGGAAGAACAUAUGUGUAAGUAACUGUGCACAUCUUGACGGUACCUAAUCAGAAAGCCACGGCUAACUACGUG